rnacentral:rRNA from 1 species
UACGAGGGGGGCGAGCGUUGUUCGGAAUUACUGGGCGUAAAGGGCUCGUAGGUGGCCAACUAAGUCAGACGUGAAAUCCCUCGGCUUAACCGGGGAACUGCGUCUGAUACUGGAUGGCUUGAGAUUGGGAGAGGGACGCGGAAUUCCAGGUGUAGCGGUGAAAUGCGUAGAGAUCGGAAAGAACACCAGUGGCGAAGGCGGCGACCUGGGUCCAAACUGACACUGAGGUGCGAAAGCGUGGGGAUCAAACAGG